rnacentral:rRNA from 1 species
AUUGAACGCUGGCGGCAGGCCUAACACAUGCAAGUCGAGCGGAUGAAGGGAGCUUGCUCCUGGAUUCAGCGGCGGACGGGUGAGUAAUGCCUAGGAAUCUGCCUGGUAGUGGGGGAUAACGUCCGGAAACGGGCGCUAAUACCGCAUACGUCCUGAGGGAGAAAGUGGGGGAUCUUCGGACCUCACGCUAUCAGAUGAGCCUAGGUCGGAUUAGCUAGUUGGUGGGGUAAAGGCCUACCAAGGCGACGAUCCGUAACUGGUCUGAGAGGAUGAUCAGUCACACUGGAACUGAGACACGGUCCAGACUCCUACGGGAGGCAGCAGUGGGGAAUAUUGGACAAUGGGCGAAAGCCUGAUCCAGCCAUGCCGCGUGUGUGAAGAAGGUCUUCGGAUUGUAAAACACUUUAAGUUGGGAGGAAGGACAGUAAGUUAAUACCUUGCUGUUUUGACGUUACCAACAGAAUAAGCACCGGCUAACUUCGUG